GAUGAACGCUGGCGGCGUGCCUAAUACAUGCAAGUCGAGCGAACAGAUAAGGAGCUUGCUCCUUUGACGUUAGCGGCGGACGGGUGAGUAACACGUGGGUAACCUACCUAUAAGACUGGAAUAACUCCGGGAAACCGGGGCUAAUGCCGGAUAACAUUUAGAACCGCAUGGUUCUAAAGUGAAAGAUGGUUUUGCUAUCACUUAUAGAUGGACCCGGGCCGUAUUAGCUAGUUGGUAAGGUAACGGCUUACCAAGGCAACGAUACGUAGCCGACCUGAGAGGGUGAUCGGCCACACUGGAACUGAGACACGGUCCAGACUCCUACGGGAGGCAGCAGUAGGGAAUCUUCCGCAAAGGGCGAAAGCCUGACGGAGCAACGCCGCGUGAGUGAUGAAGGUCUUCGGAUCGUAAAACUCUGUUAUUAGGGAAGAACAAAUGUGUAAGUAACUGUGCACGUCUUGACGGUACCUAAUCAGAAAGCCACGGCUAACUACGUG
rnacentral:rRNA from 1 species